UUUCCGUAGGUGAACCUGCGGAAGGAUCAUUACCGUGUUCUGGGUCCCCUCGGGGGCCCGACACCCCACCCUUUGUAGUUACAUGACUAUCGUUGCUUCGGCGGGACGGCCCCCCUCACGGGGGUGCCGCCGGGCCCCUACCGCCCGGAGAGCUCCCGCCGGAGGACCACAAACUCUAGCCUUUUUGAACGAGAAGUCGGAGUGAGAAUUACAUAAUUCAAAACUUUCAACAACGGAUCUCUUGGUUCUGGCAUCGAUGAAGAACGCAGC
rnacentral:misc_RNA from 1 species